GGGGGCCGGUGGGCAGGAGGGCCGGGAGGAGAGAGGCGGCGGCGGCGGCAAGAUCCCAGAUCCUGAGUCCGGACAGGGCCGAGCGAAGCGGAACGCGACGGUAGCAGCGGCGGCGGCGGCUGGGCCGGGAGAGGCUGGCGCGCCGGGCGGCUCCGCGAAUCCUCCGGCAUCCGCCCCGGCGGGCCGCCUCCGCCCGCGGCAGCCCCCGGAGCAGCGGCCCGGCACCGGCGCCUUCCUGGCGGGCAAGAGCCAAUCAUGGAGCUACGUGUGGGGAAUAAGUACCGUCUGGGACGGAAGAUUGGGAGCGGGUCCUUCGGAGACAUCUACCUGGGUGCCAACAUUGCGUCUGGUGAAGAAGUCGCCAUCAAGCUUGAGUGUGUGAAAACAAAGCACCCCCAGCUGCAUAUCGAGAGCAAGUUCUACAAGAUGAUGCAGGGGGGAGUGGGGAUCCCAUCCAUCAAGUGGUGUGGAGCCGAGGGGGACUACAAUGUGAUGGUCAUGGAACUGCUGGGGCCCAGCCUCGAGGACCUUUUCAAUUUCUGUUCCCGAAAAUUCAGCCUCAAGACGGUGCUGCUCCUGGCCGACCAGAUGAUCAGCCGUAUAGAGUACAUUCACUCCAAGAACUUCAUCCACCGGGACGUCAAGCCUGACAAUUUCCUCAUGGGUCUAGGGAAGAAGGGCAACCUGGUCUACAUCAUCGACUUUGGCCUGGCCAAGAAGUACCGAGACGCCCGUACCCACCAGCACAUCCCCUACCGGGAAAACAAGAACCUGACUGGCACUGCCCGCUAUGCCUCCAUCAAUACCCACCUGGGCAUCGAACAAAGCCGUCGAGAUGACCUAGAGAGUUUGGGCUACGUGCUCAUGUACUUCAACCUGGGCUCCCUGCCCUGGCAGGGCCUCAAAGCAGCCACCAAGCGCCAGAAGUACGAGCGAAUCAGCGAGAAAAAGAUGUCGACGCCCAUCGAGGUCCUCUGCAAAGGCUACCCCUCGGAGUUCUCCACAUACCUCAACUUUUGCCGUUCCCUGCGGUUUGACGACAAGCCUGACUACUCUUACCUGCGCCAGCUGUUCCGCAACCUCUUCCACCGACAGGGCUUCUCCUACGACUACGUCUUCGACUGGAACAUGCUCAAAUUCGGGGCUUCCUCGAGCCAGGCUCAGCCCCAUGACAGUGAAGCUAUCGCACCAUUCUGUCCCCGCCCCUGUCCCUGUGCCGGGCCCACGUUCCCACCCACAUGCUGGUGCCCGGCCCCCCUGGGCACCCAGGACCCCCCAGAUAGGCCCAUGGAAGAAGUGGAGGAGGUGGAAGAGCUGCCCCCCCAAAACUACUGGCCUGUGGUCUGGACUCCAGGGCCCCGUUUCUGAUGUCGCUGGGUACACCUGAGCCUAUCAUGGCCAGGCCUGAGGAAGUGUCCUCUGCAGUGAUAAGGGUGACUCUUGUGCCCAAGAGGUGGCAGUGCAGUGCAGAGGGCGGGGUGAAGAGGCCCUGCCUCAGAUUCUUGGGAAUGAACCAGCUUCCUGAGGGCAGGAGAGAGCCUGGAGGAGAGAUGGCAACGCGCCUGGGUGUGGCAGAAACGGGCACCAGGAGCAGGCUCACAGCCAGACCCCGGCGCUGGCCUCUGUAUUGCACCUGAGCUUAUUAAACUCCUACCCUGCUUCAUCCUGGUGUGUGUCUCCCUUCAUGUGGGCCCUCAGCCCUUUCUGCCAGAUGCUCAGGAGCGAGGCUUAGUUCUCCCAGACGUGGAGGUCAGCGCCUUGGGCUUGGGCUCCUUUUCUUGCUGGGUUUCAGAAAGUGUCCUGAUCCUGUUCCCUAAGGAGUAGGACAGAGGCUGGGCAGAGAACAGGGGUCUCACAGGCCAAGAACCUCAGGGAGAGGCCUCUGUUGCCCUCCCUUGUGAGGGUAGAGGUGGCAGAUGGGCAGGGGGGCAUGCCUUUUUUUACCCCAGACCAUCUGGAUUGGACUGGGGCCCUCAGGGCUAGCUUUUCUCACCUCAAGGGCAUCAGGCACUGGGCAUUUAUUUGCUCAUCGCUAUACAAAGUCAUUCCUGAGUCUGAUUCUGUGACAGGUUUAGGCCUUCGGCUCAGCACAGUUCCAAGAACAGAUUUCUCAUUUUCUAGACCUCUGCCAUUAAUUAAUUAAACUUAAUAAAAACUGAAAAUGUAGUUCCUCAGUCAUAUUUGACACAUUACAAGUUCUUAGGAGCCAGAAGUGGCUGAGCAAUAGCCACCACAUCCAACAAGACAGAUACGAUCGUUGCCUUCAUCAUCCCAGAAAGUUCUGAGGACAACACUGCUCUAGAUGCCUCCUUGCAGAACUUCUCACGGGACUGUCCAGCCAACAAGAUCUCUUCUCAAGCCAAGUCAGGAGCACCCUCCCUACCUACUGCUGAAGUCCCCCUUGGGGCAGGUCCUGGGGUCAGAAGCAGGGCAGCAGCACCCACAGCAUUACCCUCUUUCAGCCUCUUGUCCAGCCAACAAGAUCUCUUCUCAAGCCAAGUCAGGAGCACCCUCCCUACCCCCGCUUCCUGAAGUCCCCCUUGGGGCAGGUCCUGGGGUCAGAAGCAGGGCAGCAGCACCCACAGCAUUACCCUCUUUCGGCCUCUUGUCCAGCCAACAAGAUCUCUUCUCAAGCCAAGUCAGGAGCACCCUCCCUACCCCCCCUUCCUGAAGUCCCCCUUGGGGCAGGUCCUGGGGUCAGAAGCAGGGCAGCAGCACCCACAGCAUUACCCUCUUCCAGCCUCUGGCGCAUCACUGCUUAGCAACCUCCAUCAGCCCCUGGCAGAAGUAUCUGUAGGAUGGACAGUGGGAACUUUCCACACUUUUCACUCUUGAGAACAGGCCCCUCCCACACUACCCUGUCCUGCAAUCUUUCAUUAAGCACCUGGCAGAGGACAGGACGCUGCUGGGUACCACCAGGCUGCAGACUCUCCUAUAAUGAGGAUUGCGCCCUCAACCUCCUUGGAGUGGUUCACCGCGUUGUUUGGCAUCGGGGCACUAGGAUCCCCGGAGCCCUGGGCCUGGAUCCUGCUCUCAGCACACACAGCCACUGUGUUCUGAGGUCUAGCCAGCAGCGGGGAAGAGAUGCACAGCCAUGGACAGGUCCAUACAGCAAGUGUGGAAACUUGUGACAUGGCUGAACCUUUGUGUUGUGGGGAAAUAAAGGCCAAGGAAGCUCCUUGAUCUGCAUUUCUUAAGGCAUUGCUGGGGUUGGAUUGAAAUAAGGAGAGUUGCUUACCUCCUUCCUCUGAGGCUGGUUUUGGCCUGAGCUUGCUGGGGUCCCACAGGGCUGUGCACCUUGGAGCAAAUCACUUAACUGGGGGAUGAGAUUAACUUGCAUUGCGAAGUCAAUGUGCCCCUGUCCACAGGAGGUUUGAUACGUGAUGCACAACUCUUACUUAUCCCAUGGUCCCUGGUAUAGCUCUGGCUGAGUCACCCUCUUUGCCAUCCUCUAACUGGGUAGGAGCCCAGGGGGAGGCCAGAGGUCAGGAGCUGUAUUCCUGACUCCCAGGUCUGCCUGCGAAGCUUCUGGGUGGGUGGAUGAAGAAAUGUGCCCCUAGAGUAUUCUGCGAAGGCAAGUCUCUGAACAGCUUUCUCUUGGGGUGCAGAGAACACAGUGGGACCAGGUGGAAGACACCUGUGUUCUGACCUCAGCUCCAGAGCCGUGUGACCCCAGGCAGGUCAAGAAGCUCUUCUGAGCCUUGGUACCUUGCUAGGAUCCAGGGAUUGUUGUGAUCCAGCCACCACUUCCUAGAGUUGAAGACAGGCCUACCCUAACCCGAUUUCUUGGCCGGUCCCCUGGGAGAGACACGGGUUGCAAAAGCCCUACCCCAUGGCCCACGAGCAGGCCUCCAACUCAGCCUAUAGCUCUCUCCUCCACAGAUGCGGCCCCCCUCCUGCCAGCCCCCUGCCCUUCUCUGUGGACACCCCCAGGACCAACUAGGGUGCAUCCCGGAACCCCGAGGACGUGGACCGGGAGCGGCGAGAACACGAGCGCGAGGAGAGGAUGGGGCAACUGCGGGGGUCCAC